GUCACAUCUUAAACUACGGCCCUUCCCGAGCAGGAAAGCAGCCGCUCAGGUUUUCCUGUGCCUGUGGCCUCCAGAAAGGUGUCACUCCACUGAGCUGCCAGGGCGGACUCACAACACAGAUGAUGCCUGCUGUCCUUUGGGUGGCUGCAUGGGAUUUAAUUUCAUGCUGUCAAACCGUGUGGGAGCACUGAGCGGCUUUGAAGUUUCUCAGCCUGCUGUGGUGAAGGAGGGAGACAUCGUCAAGGUGAACCAAGGCCCUUCAGCGCGGCUAAAAUUUGCCAGCCACUUCGGCAAGAGUAUCAAAAUCCUUUUGUCAAUUUGAGUGUCACAACACAGUAUCAGCUGAAGAGAGGGUAAAGCAAAACGCCUGGAGACCUGAACCUUGGAAUAGACAACAGCAACUGCUGCAAGAGGGUGCAAACUGUACCUUGCCCUGGAUAUGGAGAAGAGGGAGGCAGGAUGGGCAACUUGCAGCCUUCGCAGGAACUGAUGCACAGAGAAAAGGCUGACUGCAGGGAAAAGUGCACGUUGCACAGGAGUGCUACACAGGCUGCCUGCAGACAAAAUUGUACCAAUCUGCAGAGCUGGCUGCAAGAGGCUAGCAAGGGAGUGAUGUCCCUGAGCGUGUUUGUGGUAC